CCUACGGGUGGCAGCAGUCGAGAAUCAUUCACAAUGGGGGAAACCCUGGUGGUGCGACGCCGCGUGGGGGAAUGAAGGUCUUCGGAUUGUAAACCCCUGUCAUGUGGGAGCAAAUUAAAAAGAUAGUACCACAAGAGGAAGAGACGGCUAACUCUGUGCCAGCAGCCGCGGUAAUACAGAGGUCUCAAGCGUUGUUCGGAAUCACUGGGCGUAAAGCGUGCGUAGGCUGUUUCGUAAGUCGUGUGUGAAAGGCGCGGGCUCAACCCGCGGACGGCACAUGAUACUGCGAGACUAGAGUAAUGGAGGGGGAACCGGAAUUCUCGGUGUAGCAGUGAAAUGCGUAGAUAUCGAGAGGAACACUCGUGGCGAAGGCGGGUUCCUGGACAUUAACUGACGCUGAGGCACGAAGGCCAGGGGAGCGAAAGGGAUUAGAUACCCCAGUAGUC
rnacentral:rRNA from 1 species